AUGGAAUAGGAUUGCACUUAAGACCGUUUCAAUAAACAUUCUUAUCUUUAGUCACAGACUUAGUCCUAACUUUUGACUUAGGACCAAUCUGUACUCUCGAAAUGAAGUUAAAAAAUAUAGCGCACGCGCUGUUUGCCGCAAUAUGUCAUACGUCUGCGACAAAAUAAGGGAAGCGCCGCAGGAAAGCUACUGAACAGGUCGGACUCUGAAUACCUUGUUCUUACAGAGGCUGUAAAGAUCUUUCUCCCAGUAAGAAGGGGAAACAUGCUACUUUUGUUACCAAUAGCGCUUAAUGGAGUGUCUGGGAGUCGGUGGUUGAUCGGUAACUUUUGACAUUUCUGUGUUAACUUUUCUUUCGUAUAGACUUUAGUCAUAUUUAACAAGGGAAGCAACUAGAUUUUGAAAAAAGCGGAAAUAUUUUUAUGAUGUUCAAUUCCGAAGGAAAAUCAGAUUUAAUUAAGAGUUGGCUGCAUGUUGUGUCAGUCAUGUAACCGGCAUAUUCAUCUAUGUGCAGGAGUGAUGGCUGGAUACAGAAUUAUUUGUUAGUUGGACAACAGUGAAUACAGGUCACAGCAUGCUGAUAGAGAUCCUCAGCUCAUAUGGUAGCCAGGGUUUAGCUGUGAGCUGACUCAGAAGAUGCCAUUUAGUGAUUUAAUGUGGAUAAUCCAUUCAGAUCAUUCACCAGUGAUGUACAACACUGAUGGAACUGAAGGCAAUACUUGCACUGACGUUCAGGGCUGGUUAUUUAAAGUAUAUAUAAUUAGAUGUACCUCCUUAAAUACAAGAUUUCUGCCAUGUGAAAGGAGCAAGUUGAAAGACACACUGUUGGAGAUGGGGUCCAUGAACCUUAUGUAUACAGCUAUAUGAACAAGGGCUGGAACAAAGCGGACAAGACUGGACUUUUAAUUGUUAAUGAAUAUUUUAAGUUGUAUGUCACCAGUAUAAUAGGGUUAUUAUAAAAGUAGUUAGAUCUUGGAUGUGGUAUUUGGCUUGGAGUGCAUUUUGCCAGACCUGGAACACACGAGGCCUGCAAAGGCAAAGUCUGACCCGCUGUGGUAAAAUCGCCAAAGGCCUAAUACAACCUCCCAGAUCAAGCUACUGUUACAAUCGUACUUUAAUUUUUUAUCUCCAUGUACUAAAAAUCAUUUCGCAAAAAUACUGUAACGUUACAGGUGAUAUAUUAAAUUUGGUACGCCUUUAAAGUUUAAAUUCAUGUUGUUGUUCUUGUUUAUACACAAUUGAUUACCACGCCUUGUUUACAUAUGGGAUUUAUUGUUUGAAAGCGAAAAAAAAAUGUUUAAAAUGAAUAAGAAAAUGUCAUUAUAAAAAACUUGCACUUUUAUGUUAAGGGAGUAGUGAGAGGAAAUUUUCCUUUUUUGUUGCUCAACCUGAUCACAAAGUGCUCAGGGGUGAGUAAUUGUUAUCACUCAUUGCAUGUCUGUCCGCCCGUCCAUACUUUUCUUAACCUACAUGUCCUAAAUCAUUUGGUACAGGCAGAUGAUGAAACUUGGCUUGGAUGUCCUAUAGAUAUUCCUGCCUUUCCCUAGGGAAAAACCUUGUCUAAAGUAUCGCGCACUUAGGCGAGGGUACCAACGUAUCCUAUGGGAUUCUGCAGAUGUUAUAACACAAACUGAACAUGCGCUAACGCUAUUCUAGCAUAUAACACGUAAAAACGAAUAAAUGAAUAUAUUGUUGCUCAACGUUAUUGAAUUUCCAUGAAAUGCGUGGGAAUGUAGGAGCUUUUGGUUAGCUUUAAUGGUGAGCUUUUGUGACAACUCAGUGUCCAUUUUCCGUCCGUCAACAUUUACUAAAAAAUCUUCUUGAAAACCACUGGGCAGAUUUACGCCAAUUUUGAUGAAACUUCGCAGGAAUGAUCCUUAGUAGGCCCCCUUUCAAAAUUUUUCAAAAAAUUGAAUUACACACAGAACACUGGUUACCAUGGCUACCAAAAGGAAAAACUUUAAAAAUACUCCUGUCCAAAACCACAAGGCAUGUGACAUCAUCUAAUGGACGUAUUAUGUUAUGGUCCGGCUGUCCGUCCGUCCAUUAGCAAUUUCGUGUCUGCU
rnacentral:lncRNA from 1 species